rnacentral:lncRNA from 1 species
CGGUAGAGUUUCCUUUGUGGGUGCGCUCCUCUGGAGCUCACCCGACACGCGAUCCUUGUCGAUUCGAAUGAUGCAAGAACCUUAUAGAAAUCCCGCCUCCGCCAUUUUCCGAUCCCCCACUUCCUACAACCUCUCUUCCACCCACUACUAACACUUCUUCUUCUAGGUCUUGGGCAUCUCUCCUGGAACGUAAGCCUUCUUUGAUGCGUGUGAAUCUGACGACAUACUUUUUGAUCGAUGGAGCCUUGAAAAUAUGCAACAAGUUAUUUGAUCUCGAUCUUGUGAGGAUGCAGGAACCCGUGGUUGCACAAUUUGUUGGCUCAAGCCCGGCAAUGCGUGUUUUAUCCUCAAUGGCAAACCGUCUAUGGGGUAUGAAGGUAGUACUACUAUAUCGAUAAUGUCUUCUGGUUUUCACCUACUAGAACUCCCUUCUAAAGAUCUAUGUGAUUGGGUACUGGGGCGUAUGUGGCAUAUUCAUCACUCCACAUUCGCUUUGAGACGAUGAACAAAAGGUAUUCAGCCUCUUGAUCUAUCACCAAAGGAGAAGCCGUUGUGGGUUACUAUUCAUUCUCUACCCCUAUAGUUGAUGCAUUCUGAAUGAAUAAGAUGGCUACUAGCUCAAAUUGGCUGGCCAAUUCGAAGUUAUGUGCAUACAUGGCUUAAUGUCAAGAUUUGCUUGCGUCUCUUUGCCGCCGCUGCCAGGAAUCGAUUGCUUUAAUUUUGGAGGAUGGUGAGCAUGUGAAGUUAAAUGUAAUUUGCCCAAUUAAUCGAUUGAAUGAAGCUCCUACACCGACUUGGAGGAAGAAAGUGAUUUAGAAUGAUAAAGAUCUGGAGGAUACCAUGUCAAAGAUUAAGAAGGAAGAUGUUGCAUAUGUAGUUAGCUUGCUAAGUGAUUUAUCUGAAACUUCAAUGCAAGCUGAGGAAAUCGUUGAAAUGGCUAUUCUGAAAACUCCUGUCAUUGAUAACUUGGCAAUGGAUCUGCAUAAUAACGUUGAGGUGCUUGAAAGGGUUUUGGAAUUAGUUCAGGAGGAUAUUAUUUAAGUUAUAGCUGAGGAAUAUGAGAAGGCUAUUACAAUGCAAGAAAGUAGCAAGACUAUGAAACAGGGAUUUGGUUCAGCUCAAGAGAAUAGCAAAGUGGAAAUAACUGAAUUGGAAGACUCAGUGAAGCAAGGUCAAAGAAGUAGGAAGUACAUGCAACUCCAUCUCAUAAACAAUCAAAUAAUGAAGAUUAAGAGGAUGAUGCAAAGCAACCAACCCAGUUACUUUUGGUCAUUUUCUCCCCUGUGGCGGAAGUGUUAAGAAUAAAAGAGGUAAGUUGGUGGGUAGAGGUUGUAGUGGAAGGAAUUCUCGUAAAUGAAGUUUUGGAUAUGGAAUAUUAGAGGUUUUUAUAAAGAGAGUAGAUAUAUAGUGUUAAAAGUCGUACUUAUAGAAAUAUAAUAUAGACAUUUGUGCUAUACUAGAACCUAGAAUUAAGCGGGUGCAUAUGGAUGAAUUUGUUGUCUCUCGUUUCUAUGGAUGGCUCUCUAAGUAGUGUUAUGAUGGGGAUCAUGCUAAGAUUUGGCUUGUCUAGAAAAAGAAUAUUCCUCUCACAAUUGUAUGGUCUUCAAGUUAGUGUAUACAUGUGUUGAUUGAUUUACCUUCUCCCCUAUUCUGCACCUUCUUUUAUGCUUCAAAUUAUGGAGAGAUGAAGAACUCUCUAUGAGGAUAUUGGAAGGAUUAAGACGAAUAGGAUUUCAUGAAUUAUUGCAUGGGACUUCAUUGCCAUUAUAAGACUAUCAUAAGCUUCUAAUGCUCCGAAAAAUGGGUCUUCUAUGGUGGAUUUUCAAAAUUUUGUUGAAGAUUGCG